AACGCACAUUGCGCCCCGUGGUAUUCUGCGGGGCAUGCCUGUUCGAGCGUCAUUUCAACCCUCAAGCUAUGCUUGGUGUCGGGCUAUGCUAUAAAAUAUAAAAUAGUUGGCCUUGGAAUCAGUUGCAGUGCUGCUAGGCCCUAAGUGUAGUAGAUUUUCUCGCUAUAGGUGCUUAGUAGUAUCUAGCUAAAAUUUUACUCUCUAUAGUUGACCUCGGAUCAGGUAGGGAUACCCGCUGAACUUAA
rnacentral:misc_RNA from 1 species